rnacentral:misc_RNA from 1 species
GGAUGGAUCAUUAACACAAUAAUAAUCCAAAGGACGGGAGAGGAAAGCGAAAGCUGACCAAUUCCGUCCGAACAACUUGAAAACGUGAACAUACGAGAAAGUCUUCAUUUUUGAUCUUGCAUCAGAGAUGAACCCUUUAACAACUGUAAACACCAAAACCAAAACAAACAACAAAAUCAAGUCGUAAACAAAAAUGUUUUUUGUGAUGGGUUAUUCUAGUGUGAUGGAGAUUUAUUCUCUGUUUGCACUGUUGAAUUAACUUUCAACAUCAAUUGAACCAAAACAAACAACUGUAUUCAGUGGAUGUCUUGGCUCCCAGAACGAUGAAGAACGCAGCGAAAUGCGAUACGUAAUGUGAAUUGCAGAAUACUGGAAUCAUCAAAUCUUUGAACGCAAGUGGCACUUCGUGGACUUGUCCCGGAGUAUACCUGUCUGAGUGUCGUUUCCAUAACAAUCAUAAAGAGCACUGUUCGAAAGAAUGAGCUCCAUUAUGGAAGAUGAGAUUUGGAAGUGCAGCCUUAAACAGCAGUGCUUCCAUUUCUUCAAAUGGAUUGAACUGAGAAACAAUUCAAUACUACACACAACAACUCUGUGUUGUUGUGUUCUCUCGACCUUGUAAAUCCGCUCAUCACCGACAGAGCAUCUCCGACAAUGGCAACGUUGUUGUUGGGCUGUUCUGCGAGCAGCAGUUAGUUUCGGCUCGACUGCUGUCUUGCGGGAUUUCCAUUCUUUGAAACUUGAUUCAAUUCGAGUUACACAAACAUUAAUGGAUUAAAUCUGACGUCAACGAUGAGAUCAAAUGGAAUAACUCAAAUGAGAGUGAUGGUUGUUGAUUGUACUAAUUCUUGGUCUAAACCGCAAGAGCGUAAAGAGAUUCUCUUUUGCUCUUCAUCUACAAACUCCGACCUCAGAUCAAGUAAGGCUACCCCGUGAAUUUAAGCAUAUCAUUAGCGGGAGGAAAAGAAACUAACUAGGAUGCCUUCAGUAACGGCGAGUGAAGCAGGCAGAGCUCAAAUUUGUAAUCUGGGUGUCCAUUGGGCGCCUCGAAUUGUAGUUUGCGACGGUGCAUGGCAGUGUCAGCCGGCGGUCUAAGUCUUUUGGAACAAGGCUCCACAGAGGGUGAUAGACCCGUAUGGGACCGCUGCUCGCUGGUGCUGCAUAUCUUGUGCUGUUGACGAGUCAUGUUCGUUGGGAUUCGAGCAUAAAACGGGUGGUAAAUUUCAUCUAAAGCUAAAUACUACUGGGAGACCGAUAGCGAACAAGUACCGUGAGGGAAAGAUGCAAAGAACUUUGAGAUGAGAGUGAAAAGUGCCUGAAACUGAAUACAGGGAACCGAAGGGACCAAGUGAACAGCUGGCAGUCAAAUCAGCCAGUCGGGCCGGAGCUGAGCGGCGGCGGGCGAGUCUGUAAAAGGACCGCACUGUCUGUCGGCAGUCAUUCGGCUUGGCUGGUGCACUUUGAUUGUCAGCGAGUCAACAUCAGUUGCGUUUGCGGGACGAGAAGGCUGGGCGCAAGGUAGGUGUCGCUUCGGUGGCACUGUUUAUAAGCGUUCAGAGAUGGUUCCGCCGCGACUGAGGAGUACACAGUGAGCCGUCGGACUCGCAAGGUCUGGCGAGGCGCUCGGUGCGUCUGCGGGCGUCGGCUUGGGGCUUCCAUCAAGACUAGUGCUUGAGUGGCUCUGCCGGCGUUUGCACCUGCGUGUCGAGCGUCUUCUGCAUCUCACUCAGGAUGUUGACGAAAUUGGUUCCUCCGACCCGUCUUGAAACACGGACCAAGGAGUCUAGCAUAUGUGCGAGUGUUAGGGUGUGUAAAACCCGCGACGCGCAAUGAAAGUAAAAGGGUGGGAUCGCCUUAAACAAGCGUGCACCAUCGACCGAUCUGGAUUUUUCUAAUGAUAGAUUUGAGUGAGAGCAGACAUGCUGGGACCCGAAAGACAGUGAACUAUAGCUGAGUAGGGUGAAGCCAGAGGAAACUCUGGUGGAGGCUCGUAGUGUAUCUGACGUGCAAAUCGAUCAUCAAACUUGGCCAUAGCGGCGAAAGACUAAUCGAACUAUCUAGUAGCUGGUUUCCUC